rnacentral:tRNA from 1 species
UCCCUGGUGGCUCAGACAGUAAAGCGUCUGCCUGCAAUGCUGGAGACCCGCGUUCAAUCCCUGGCUUGGGAA